GACGAACGCUGGCGGCGUGCUUAAUACAUGCAAGUCGAGCGAGGUUACUGUUUUGGAUCCCUUCGGGGUGAAGAAGCUUUAACCUAGCGGCGGACGGGUGAGUAACGCGUGGGUAACCUACCCCAAAGUCCGGGAUAACAGCGGGAAACCGCUGCUAAUACCGGAUGCCUUUACCUUGGGGCAUCUUGAGGUAAAGAAAGGUAACGCUUUGGGAUGGGCCCGCGUCCCAUUAGCUAGUUGGUGAGGUAACGGCUCACCAAGGCGACGAUGGGUAGCCGGCCUGAGAGGGUGGACGGCCACACUGGGACUGAGACACGGCCCAGACUCCUACGGGAGGCAGCAGUAGGGAAUAUUGCGCAAUGGACGGAAGUCUGACGCAGCGACGCCGCGUGAGCGAUGAAGGUCUUCGGAUCGUAAAGCUCUGUCCUUGGGGAAGAAGGUCUUCGGACUUGACGGUACCCAAGAAGAAAGCCCGGCUAACUACGUGCCAGCAGCCGCGGUAAAAGUGUGUG
rnacentral:rRNA from 1 species